rnacentral:rRNA from 1 species
ACGCUCGACACCUACAAGAGGCAGCAGUAGGGAAUCUUCCACAAUGGGCGCAAGCCUGAUGGAGCAACACCGCGUGAGUGAAGAAGGGUUUCGGCUCGUAAAGCUCUGUUGUUGGAGAAGAACGUGCGUGAGAGUAACUGUUCACGCAGUGACGGUAUCCAACCAGAAAGUCACGGCUAACUACGUGCCGGCAGCCGCGGUAAUCUGAGCGGGCUGGCAAGGC